rnacentral:rRNA from 1 species
CACGUAGGGGGCAAGCGUUGUCCGGAUUUAUUGGGCGUAAAGAGCUCGUAGGUGGUUCGGUAAGUCGGGUGUUAAACCCCCAGGCUCAACCUGGGGACGCCACUCGAUACUGCUGUGACUAGAGUCCGGUAGGGGAGCGUGGAAUUCCUGGUGUAGCGGUGAAAUGCGCAGAUAUCAGGAGGAACACCAGCGGCGAAGGCGGCGCUCUGGGCCGGUACUGACGCUGAGGAGCGAAAGCGUGGGUAGCAAACAGG